GUGAAUCAAAAUGUUUGGGAAAAUAGACUGUAAAUAAAUCAGACAAUAGUAAUUGAUAGGUUAAUUCCCUAUGGUUCAACUCUAGGCAUAAAUACUCAGAUUUUAUUUACAAUGCGCGCGUAAUCUUUUGUGAGACUCUGUUGAGCGUGAUCAUUAAGCAAUCUCCACAACAAAAAUCCGCAUGCUGAUUUCCAAAACAACACAAACAACAUGAAUAAAAAGAAACUGAUAUAAUGUAAUUCAUACACCCCUAACAUAACUUGUAUCUGCAACUCUAAUAACUUGACAAGGAAAUAAGGAAAACUGAAACUAUUUAAUUACAGGUGUUCCAUACAUAUUCAUCACAAGGAGAAGACCUUGAUGAAGGCAUGGAAGUAAACUAAAUAAGCUUAAAUCAUCUCAUUUUUGCAUUCAUUCUUGACCAAAAAGUAGUACAAACAGUUGAAGAAAUUACCUAAUCAACAGAGAAAAAUAUUAGUAAGGCAGGGACUGAAUUUCAGCAACAAACAAUAAUACAACAAUAGCAAAAUUAGCAACUUAUGACCCGAGAACAACCCAGAAAAAUCUAUCAAGAAAGUAUUUGAAAUCAGUAGCUACUUCACCAAGCAAUCACCUAGGAUUCCUCUAUUUUCUUACAAGUUUUACACUCUAAGAACACUCACAAAGUUCAGAAUUUUCAGCUCACUAUUCAGUAUGUUCCGUUGAUCUUCUCUAAAGUUUUGUGUUUUUUUACGGUGCAGAAGGUGAUGGCUAAGUGUGUUUGAGUGUGUAGAGAUCCCCAAGUGAGGAAACAACUCCUCUUUAUAUAGGAGAGGAAAGGAUGGGGCAGAUGUUUGUUUUACCAGAAAUCUGUCCAAAAUGAUAGUGUUUUUGAUAAAAAAUCUGUCCAAAAACAAACAUUUUGGUCAAUGGACAGUUGUUUUUACCAAUUGUGGACAAAGCAGUCCCUUAACCGUAAAAGCAAACCAAAAAAGGCCCUACGCUCAUGUAUCUUCUACUACCCUCAUAAACCAAUAUCCAACUAAACUAUUGCUUCAAACUAGAGAGUGCAAGAUCAAUAACAACACUUGAACCAUUAAACUAACAAAAGAACCUAAUGAAUACAAACACACAAAACAUAUAGCUAAGGCCUUAAACUAAUUACCUUAAACAUAGACAAAACUAGAAAUAAUAAAUAUGGAAUUAGAAAUUAACAACUUAAAGACAACACAAAAUACGAAUGAUAGUGAAACAACUAUCGAGUCGACUAAAACACGAAAUAAAAAACGAGACUAAACAUGAACUAACAAUCACUAAUAGAUUUUGAACUAAGGAAAAACACCAAAAUCAACUUCGAAACGAGAAGAUCAAUGAGUUUUGCCAAUUACAAAUAGUUUAUCGAAUUUUCCAAUGGAUUAUCAAAAUCGAUUAACUAAACAAAAACAUAAUGAUAGAUUAAACGACUAACUAAUAUGUGAUUUGAAAGUGUUAAGCAACAACCAACGUUGAAGAAAGUUGAUAAAAGUAAACUCGAACUAACUAUCAUGGAUUAACAAUUGAUUCAAAAUAGAAAAUUAACCAAAACUUAAACUUAAAUGGGAAAAAACCCAUAAGUUAUAAAAAGAGGGAAAGAAUUAAAGCAAUGGCCUAAACGAAUAAACAACAACAAAAUUUUUAAAAUCAACAAAAAAUGACUAAUCACUAAUUAAAAAAAAUAGAUCUUAAACUAAGCUAAAAAUUUCAAAAUCAGUCAUUAAAGGAGAAACUAGAAUCGAUGAACAAGGAAUUAGUAUUUUACCUAAACGCUCGGGCUCCAAAUCAGUAGUACAACACAUUUAGAUGGUGAAUCGACCUCCAAGCCUCUUUUUUCAACGUAUAAUGCUGAAAAGACACGAACUAUGGAGAUCCAAGUUGAGUCCAUCACUAUGUCAAAGAGAAAGAGAGACUAAGGGGUCGAAUUUUGCUAGACGGAGGCUAGGCGAUGCAGUAGGGUGGUGGAUGGUGGUUGGCCGAAACAUUCCAUAUUUUUAGCGGUUUGAUGGAUUUAGAGUGUGGAAUGGAGAAGAGGAGAGUUAGAGGAGGCCGGUGGUGUUAUUUUUAUGGGGUUUGGAGGUGGUAGAUGGCAGCUAGGGUUUCAGAUUUUCUUAUAUUUAUGGAGAUUGGUGAGGAUUUGAAGGAUUUGGGGUUUGGAUUCAUGAAGAGGAGGUUGAGAGGAAGAAAGGGUAAAAUUAUGGGUGGUUUGGACAAUAGCCGCCGCCAGUAGCGAAUUCCGCCGGGCGGUGCUGGGCAGUGACGCGCAGAGCAGGCAGAGUGGAGGGGGCGAUAAGAGAGAAGAAGAAAGGGGAAAAUAAGGGAAAAUGGGCAAAUUUUGAAGAUUUUAGGCUUUAUAUACCUGUGUGGGAGAUUAAAUUAGGGCCAUCGGAUUAUAUGAUGAUGAAUU
rnacentral:lncRNA from 1 species